ensembl:snoRNA small nucleolar RNA SNORD74
UUUACCCCUCUGAUGAAGCUUAUGUUGGUAGGGACAUCUGAGGCUGUUGAUGAAUGCCAGCAGCUCUGAUGGCGAAAA